AGUGAACGCUGGCGGUAGGCCUAACACAUGCAAGUCGAACGGCAGCACAGUAAGAGCUUGCUCUUACGGGUGGCGAGUGGCGGACGGGUGAGGAAUACAUCGGAAUCUACUUUUUCGUGGGGGAUAACGUAGGGAAACUUACGCUAAUACCGCAUACGACCUACGGGUGAAAGCAGGGGAUCUUCGGACCUUGCGCGAUUGAAUGAGCCGAUGUCGGAUUAGCUAGUUGGCGGGGUAAAGGCCCACCAAGGCGACGAUCCGUAGCUGGUCUGAGAGGAUGAUCAGCCACACUGGAACUGAGGCACGGCCCAGACUCCUACGGGAGGCAGCAGUGGGGAAUAUUGGACAAUGGGCGCAAGCCUGAUCCAGCCAUACCGCGUGGGUGAAGAAGGCCUUCGGGUUGUAAAGCCCUUUUGUUGGGAAAGAAAAGCAGCAGGUUAAUACCCCGCUGUUCUGACGGUACCCAAAGAAUAAGCACCGGCUAACUUCGUG
rnacentral:rRNA from 1 species